GCACCAGGAUAAAGCUAGCCUGCUGGUUAGAUCACCGUCGCCUGAGAGGAACACGUGCUCCUCCCCUGUUUGCCCAGAGCGGCGGCUCUUACUGUUUACCAGCGGUGAGCGAGGUGAUUCUACCCCCUCACCGUUCCACAUACGCAUCCACCUGCUCGGCCUCAUCCCCUUCUUCCACUUCACUCUCCUACUUCACUCCUCUCGCUUCCUCUCAAGCGUGUACCUAGAUCUGCGCUGCUCCUCAAAUCGCCGGUGAUUCGAGAUGGAGAAAACCGCGUCUAGCUGCGAUUGAUCUUCACGGCAGUUUUCCCCCUCGAUCCGCCCUCUAUGACUGCUGUAGGCACGCUGAAUCAUUCCCUCACGUUCGGUUCUUCUUAAAAGGUUUCGCCAGAUCAUCUUGGAUACUGUGUUUGAGAAAGUUGGCCUUCCAUCUGCUGCCUACUCUGCACCGAGCUCCUCUUCCAGUUCAGGCAACACCAUGGCUGAUGGAUCCUCCGCGAUGGCAACCUCGUCCGUGAACGUCCCGAUAGAUGAUGGGCUACUGAUCAAGAGCCUUCCUCCGCUGUCUCCAAUCUGCGUCACCAUCAGCAAGCAAUUCAUUCUUGAACGAGCAAUUGAAACAAUUGGUGGCACACUCCAUCCAUUCACUUUUACCGGUACAAGCAGCGAUGAUGUCGACGUCUCUCUCUCCAUUGACCUACCUCCCCACAGCAAAAGCAUGUAAGCACAAGAAAGGAAUUCCAUGCCCCACACAUCGAAUCUACCUGUGUUGCUGCCCUCGUGUACCUACAGAAAACAGGUAUAGUCACAAUCGAUGAUGCAAACUUUGCAGAGCUGAAAAUAUGCAAAAGAAAACUUCAGGCUGAGGAGUUCUGGUCCUCGGCUCUCUAUGAUAAGGCUAACGCCCUGGGCAACCAGCUCUCUUUACUGACUGCCGCCAAGCAGAAACCCCAGCCUGAGAAUAAACAAGGAGCUACUUUGUUGCCUCCUAACCAUCAUAAUACUCCACAGACCAGCCAGAAAGUGCUUUCCGAGAAACAAACAAUAAGUACUUUCCAUUACAUUGCCACACAACGCCGCUGCAAGUUCUAUGGGCUAACCACCUAUUACUUGUCGUCAGCAUCCACCAUGUUCCUUCUAAAGACGGCAAAAAGAGGAGGACCGCCCGCAAGGUGUUGUUCCCUGGAAAAUAAGGUUCGUGCGAGGUAGUCCCUAUGAAGUACAUCGACAAGGCGGAUGGAUUACGGCGCCUAUUAAUAUGCUUAGUGAUAAUGGCUCCAUAAUUGACUCUUUUUAUUAUGUUCCUGCUCUUAUUACCUUCUCUUAUGCGUUCUCGCUUUUGGUAUUGAACCUGAUGUCAAAUGGCUAUCUUUUGUGGUCAUGUAAACGCACCAAAUUUGAUUCUGCCUUAUAAACCAAUGUUUAUCUUGUGCUCCA